rnacentral:rRNA from 1 species
ACGCUGGCGGCAGGCCUAACGCAUGCAAGUCGAGCGGUAGCACAGAGAGCUUGCUCUCGGGUGACGAGCGGCGGACGGGUGAGUAAUGUCUGGGAAACUGCCUGAUGGAGGGGGAUAACUACUGGAAACGGUAGCUAAUACCGCAUAACGUCUUCGGACCAAAGUGGGGGACCUUCGGGCCUCAUGCCAUCAGAUGUGCCCAGAUGGGAUUAGCUAGCAGGUGAGGUAAUGGCUCACCUGGGCGACGAUCCCUAGCUGGUCUGAGAGGAUGACCAGCCACACUGGAACUGAGACACGGUCCAGACUCCUACGGGAGGCAGCAGUGGGGAAUAUUGCACAAUGGGCGCAAGCCUGAUGCAGCCAUGCCGCGUGUAUGAAGAAGGCCUUCGGGUUGUAAAGUACUUUCAGCGGGGAGGAAGGCGAUAAGGUUAAUAACCUUGUUGAUUGACGUUGCCCGCAGAAGAAGCACCGGCUAACUCCGUGCCAGCAGCCGCGGUAAUACGGAGGGUGCAAGCGUUAAUCGGAAUUACUGGGCGUAAAGCGCACGCAGGCGGUCUGUCAAGUCGGAUGUGAAAUCCCCGGGCUCAACCUGGGAACUGCAUUCGAAACUGGCAGGCUAGAGUCUUGUAGAGGGGGGUAGAAUUCCAGGUGUAGCGGUGAAAUGCGUAGAGAUCUGGAGGAAUACCGGUGGCGAAGGCGGCCCCCUGGACAAAGACUGACGCUCAGGUGCGAAAGCGUGGGGAGCAAAC